rnacentral:rRNA from 1 species
GACGAACGCUGGCGGCGUGCCUAGUACAUGCAAGUCGAACGCUUCUUUCCUCCCGAGUGCUUGCACUCAAUUGGAAAGAGGAGUGGCGGACGGGUGAGUAACACGUGGGUAACCUACCCAUCAGAGGGGGAUAACACUUGGAAACAGGUGCUAAUACCGCAUAACAGUUUAUGCCGCAUGGCAUAAGAGUGAAAGGCGCUUUCGGGUGUCGUUGAUGGAUGGACCCGCGGUGCAUUAGCUAGUUGGUGAGGUAACGGCUCACCAAGGCCACGAUGCAUAGCCGACCUGAGAGGGUGAUCGGCCACACUGGGACUGAGACACGGCCCAGACUCCUACGGGAGGCAGCAGUAGGGAAUCUUCGGCAAUGGACGAAAGUCUGACCGAGCAACGCCGCGUGAGUGAAGAAGGUUUUCGGAUCGUAAAACUCUGUUGUUAGAGAAGAACAAGGACGUUAGUAACUGAACGUCCCCUGACGGUAUCUAACCAGAAAGCCACGGCUAACUACGUG